UCUAUUUAAUUUCCUUGCCAGCAGAUAGAGUAAUGCAUCCACUAUAUGCCCACAGCAGGGAACAGUCCAUUCAUAAUCCUCCAGACGUACAAUAAAACUGUUAUUCAACAUGUCAAUUGUAUAGAACAGAAUAGAGCAAACUGCCAGCAGACAUGAGUACUGCAUCCACUAUAUGCACACAGCAGGGAUCAGUCCUACAUAUUCAUGCAGAGUUACAUAUAAAACUUUUAUUUCACAUGCCAAUGAAAUAAGACAGUAUAGAGCUCAGCAGUGAACAGUCCAUUCAUAAUCUUCCAGAAAAGGUACAUAUAAAACCUUUAUUCCACAUGCCCAUGAUAUGUAUUAGUAUUGAGCUCAAAAGUACAUGUAAAACUUUUAUUUCGCAGGAAAAAUAUUUUAAACAGUACAGAUCUAGCUGCCAGUUCGUGGGAAUCACGAACUGGCUAAACGACAUGGCCGACGUGAAUCUCGCGAGUGCCGCGAGAUUCAAGAUGGCCGCCGUUUGCGCGCAAUAGUGCCGUGUGGCCCACGAUCGAGGAUCUGAUCGCGGCCUGCCGGUAUGGAACAAAGUCCCCCCGACACCCCCAACCCCCAGAGACCUGCCCUGAAGUCCCAGUACCAGUGAAUAAAGAAGCGUGCUCGCGGUAAAACGCCGUGAUCCGUGCGAGACCAGAGUAAAGCAUAGGAAAGAAAAGGUGCCAGCAACAGAAAACCAAACAGGCUAAUAAAACAGAAAAUACAGGGAUAAUUUGGGGGAAGGGUAACAGAGGGAGAAUAUCACAUUAUACAAGUCCAAAUGGAAGGCAAGUGCAAAAUAAUGAAAAACGUUUAAGCCAAAAUUGCAGGACAAGCUAAUAAAGUUUAACUAAAGUGGCCAUGCAUAUCCAGAAACAGUUAGGAGCAAAACUGAAUGUCUAGCAUUAAAAAUCUAACUAAAGUGACCAUCGCAAUAUUAAUAAAAACAGUUGGAGCAAACUGAAAGUCAAGUAAUAAAGUUUAAUUAAAGUGACCAUUGCAAUAGCCAGAAAACCAGUUUGGAUUAAAACUGAAUGUCUAGCAUAAGGUGUCUAACUACAGUGACCAUAGCAAUAUUAAUAAAACCAGUUUGGAGCAAAACUUAA